rnacentral:rRNA from 1 species
UACGUAGGGGGCAAGCGUUGUUCGGAUUUACUGGGCGUAAAGGGCGCGUAGGCGGCCACGACAAGUCACUUGUGAAAUCUCCGGGCUUAACUCGGAAAGGUCAAGUGAUACUGUCGGGCUAGAGUACAGAAGGGGCAACUGGAAUUCCUGGUGUAGCGGUGAAAUGCGUAGAUAUCAGGAGGAACACCGGUGGCGAAGGCGUCCCUCUGGCCGGAUACUGACGCUGAGACGCGAAAGCGUGGGGAGCAAACAGG